GACAGAGGGUGCAAACGUUGCUCGGAAUUACUGGGCGUAAAGCGCGUGUAGGCGGGCCUUCAAGUCGGACGUGAAAGCCCUGAGCUCAACUCAGGAACUGCAUCCGAAACUGAAGGUCUGGAGUAGUGGAGAGGAAAGCAGAAUUCCUGGUGUAGAGGUGAAAUUCGUAGAUAUCAGGAGGAACACCGGUGGCGAAGGCGGCUUUCUGGACAGUUACUGACGCUGAGACGCGAAAGCGUGGGGAGCAAACAGG
rnacentral:rRNA from 1 species